UCUGGACUGAGACCAACUUGGACUGGUGUA
rnacentral:piRNA from 1 species